AGUGCAAGAAAGUGCUUCGAUUUUCACAGAAUUUUUUUUCAUUAAACUUGUUUCGAGGUUUAAAUGUGCAUGGCUUCAAUCAUGUAGUCAAUAGAAAUUAUACUGCACUUGAAAGAAUCGGUUGGCUACUUUUGGUAUUAUCAUUCGCCUACUUCACGUUUUCAAUGUGCUUCGAUCAAGUCGCUCGAUUUAUAACCGAUCCAUUUCUAUUAACUCUGGACACAAACAAUCAUAAAUGGAAGUAUACUGUCCCUGGAGUCACCGUUUGCACAGAUUAUGAAAAUGAACGUUAUAUUGAAGAGUUUUACCAACACGCCACAAAUUUAUCGAUCGAUUAUAAUUCAAAAGAUUAUCAAGACUAUCGUCACGACAUGACAAUAAUCGGAUCGAUAACUGCAGGCAGCAUGCACUUGAUUGAUAAAUUUAAAAAUAUGUCACUAUUCAAAAAACUCAGUGGAGAAGAAUUGUUGAAUGUCGUGACAAACUUGAAAACAAACACUCCAUCGUCCGGAGAUUUACAUAUAGUGUUGCGUCCAACUAUAACAGAAGCUGGAAUAUGUCACACGUUCUCUGGGAUCACCAACCAUUUCAUAGCAGAUAUUCCAAAUAAAUGGUACAAACCAGUAAUGGGCGAAGAGGGGGGAAGUUUUCCCCCCCCUGUGAUUUGGUUGAGAAGAUUUUUUCGCGAAAAUUAUUCCAAUUUGCUAGGGUUUUUCUUUCGAAGUGCGAGGACCUUUUUUGGUCCUAAAUUUUGGAAAGUGAGAAAAAAUCUUUCGAUUUUUCGAUUUGCUAGUGUUUUUCGAGUGAAAAAUUCUUUUGAUUUCCGACCAGAAUUUGACUACCCAUUCAAAAAUUUAGCUCGCCCAUUACUGGUACAAACAUAUUAAACUAGCACUGUCGAACCUAAAAUGGUCAAAAGCAAUAUUGAUUUGUUCACAGUUUUCUUUUUAGAAAAUUUUCUAGUCAUGAUUUAUUUAUUUCGAUAACACUUAUCUGAAACUUACUAACUCUGAAAAGGUGGGAAAAACAUAGAGGAUGGUAUAAUCCUUCGAUGGAGUGUGGAAUAGUUGUUCCGUGUGAUAACUGGUCAAAUUUUGUAAGACCUUUCAAAAGAGCAAUGAUUUAUUUGCAUGGAUCAAACGACAUUCUCAAUCUAAGAAAAUCUCCACAAACUGAAUGGAAUAUUACAAGUGUCUAUAAUUCCACACAACUUGAAAUAGACAUAGGUGGAGUAUUCACUAGCAACCGUACUAAAAUGUUCGGCAUUGAGACUCGCAAGUGUAGAUUUGAUGAGGAAAUUACAUCUAAUCGCAGCUAUCCGCGUGGUGUGUACACACAAAACCUGUGUUUGAUGGAAUGCAGUGCUGAUGCUGCAGUUAAAUUGUGUGGAUGUCGACCAUUCUUUUACAA